GCAGUGGUGAUUCAGUGGUAGAAUUCUUGCCUUCCAUGUGGAAGACUUGGGUUUGAUUCCUGAUCAGUGCA
rnacentral:tRNA from 1 species